GCCCCAGCCGGGCGCUGCGGCCGCCGGCCGCCCCGCUCCCGCCGAGGCCUCCCCUGACCGCGGGCCAACUCUCCCAGCGUGACUGCGCAGGGGAAAGUGUGUGCACACCCCGGCCGCGAGUGCCGGCCCCGGGAGCCCACCCGCUGCCCCUCUUCCCGACCGCAGAGGCCGCCCUGCCCACCGCGCUCCCCGGGAGCGUUUUCUGCCCUCCCACCUUGGCUGCAGCCGGUCCUCUCUCCUGGAAGGCCUUUCUGCCCUCUCGCCGCUUACCAGAACCCCAUCGCCUGUGAGGCCUCAGCUUGCAAUGCCUCCUCCAGGGAGCCUUCGUGGAAACUGACCCUCCCUCACCCAGGCCGGCUCCCGCUGCAUUCUGGGUUCUUCUAUGACUGUCCUAGAUGAAAGUUGUGCGUGACUAGCCCAGCCCUGAGUAUUCCUUUCUACCUUCCUCCAGGUGGGGGGUGGGGUGCCCUGUGCUGCCUGGAGGGGUCUGCGGUGGCGAUGAUGGUGCAGGCCCCUCUUCAGCCACAGAAAAGCAUCUCCCUCUCCUGGGAUGGGCUUGCCAGAUGUUGCCCAGAUGUUACUGGGGCUGGAAAACAUCUCCCUCUGGGAUCCCAACCUUCCUCCAGUAAGUCUACCUCCUGACCAAUGAGGGAUACCUGCGGCUCCCUGGUCAGGUUCAGCUGUUUAGGUUUCUCUCCAUCUAAAUGAGUGGAACAGGUAAGCAUUUUAUUCCACCAUGACUUUUAGGUGGCAAGGAACUUCAUGUUAUUCUGCAUCUAAGAGUUUUACAGGGUGAGCUCUUACAUUUCGAUCUUUUAUUUAAAAGUU